rnacentral:rRNA from 1 species
CCUACGGGAGGCAGCAGUGAGGAAUAUUGGUCAAUGGGCGCGAGCCUGAACCAGCCAAGUAGCGUGAAGGAUGACUGCCCUACGGGUUGUAAACUUCUUUUAUAAAGAGCUAAAGUGAGGCACGUGUGCCUUUCUGUAUGUACUUAAUGAAUAAGGAUCGGCUAACUCCGUGCCAGCAGCCGCGGUAAUACGGAGGAUCCGAGCGUUAUCCGGAUUUAUUGGGUUUAAAGGGUGCGUAGAUGGGUUGUUAAGUCAGUUGUGAAAGUUUGCGGCUCAACCGUAAAAUUGCCAUUGAUACUGGCAUUCUUGAGUACAGGUGAGGUAGGCGGAAUUCGUGGUGUAGCGGUGAAAUGCUUAGAUAUCACGAAGAACUCCGAUUGCGAAGGCAGCUUACUAACCUGCCACUGACAUUGAUGCACGAAAGUGUGGGUAUCAAACAGGAUUAGAUACCCUUGUAGUC